rnacentral:lncRNA from 1 species
AAAAUGGAAAGUACAGUUUCAGACAGAACCAAAAAUUUAAAAAGAAAAUCCACCAGAAGGAGUUCAAUGAUGAAAGCAAAGAUGGAAGCUAAUGGAAGCAACACGGAUGACACCAGUGAGACACUAACUCAUCAGAACAAAACUAAAAAGAGAGUUAGCUUUUCUUCGAUGAAAAGUGUCAGAACAUUUGAUACAGAUCAAUAUACAAAUGAUGCUGAUCAAUCUCCUAUCAAUUG